rnacentral:rRNA from 1 species
AUUGAACGCUGGCGGCAUGCCUUACACAUGCAAGUCGAACGGCAGCACGGGGGCAACCCUGGUGGCGAGUGGCGAACGGGUGAGUAAUACAUCGGAAUGUACCCAGUAGUGGGGGGAUAACUAGUCGAAAGAUUAGCUAAUACCGCAUACGCACUAUGGUGGAAAGCGGGGGAUCGCAAGACCUCGCGCUAUUGGAGCAGCCGAUGUCCGAUUAGGUAGUUGGUGGGGUAAAGGCCUACCAAGCCUGCGAUCGGUAACUGGUCUGAGAGGACGACCAGUCACACUGGGACUGAGACACGGCCCAGACUCCUACGGGAGGCAGCAGUGGGGAAUUUUGGACAAUGGGGGAAACCCUGAUCCAGCAAUGCCGCGUGUGUGACGAA